GAGUUUGAUUAUGGCUCAGAUUGAACGCUGGCGGCAUGCUUUACACAUGCAAGUCGAACGGCACCACAAGGAGCUUGCUCCUGGGUGGCGAGUGGCGAACGGGUGAGUAAUGUAUCGGAACGUGCCUGGUAGUGGGGGAUAACCACUCGAAAGAGUGGCUAAUACCGCAUGAGAUCUCUGGAUGAAAGCGGGGGACCUUUGGGCCUCGCGCUACUGGAGCGGCCGAUAUCAGAUUAGGUUGUUGGUGGGGUAAAGGCCUACCAAGCCUGCGAUCUGUAGCUGGUCUGAGAGGACGACCAGCCACACUGGGACUGAGACACGGCCCAGACUCCUACGGGAGGCAGCAGUGGGGAAUUUUGGACAAUGGGCGCAAGCCUGAUCCAGCAAUGCCGCGUGCAGGACGAAGGCCCUCGGGUUGUAAACUGCUUUUGUACAGAACGAAAAGUCUCUGGCUAAUAUCCUGGGGA
rnacentral:rRNA from 1 species